ACAUCGGGUUGAAACACCGGCUCCCUUACUAUCGCUGAAGUUAAGCAACAUCGAAUCUGGUUAUUAUCUGGAUGGGUGACCGAUUGGGAAUACUAUGUGCUGUAAG